CUACGGGAGGCAGCAGUGGGGAAUAUUGGACAAUGGGGGCAACCCUGAUCCAGCCAUGCCGCGUGAGUGAUGAAGGCCUUCGGGUUGUAAAGCUCUUUUGGCGGGGACGAUGAUGACGGUACCCGCAGAAUAAGCCCCGGCUAACUUCGUGCCAGCAGCCGCGGUAAGACGAAGGGGGCUAGCGUUGUUCGGAAUUACUGGGCGUAAAGGGCGCGUAGGCGGUUUGUUAAGUCAGGCGUGAAAGCCCUGGGCUCAACCUGGGAUGUGCGCUUGAUACUGGCAAGCCUGAGUGCAGGAGAGGAUGGUGGAAUUCCCAGUGUAGAGGUGAAAUUCGUAGAUAUUGGGAAGAACACCGGUGGCGAAGGCGGCCAUCUGGACUGCAACUGACGCUGAGGCGCGAAAGCGUGGGGAGCAAACAGGAUUAGAAACCCUAGUAGUCC
rnacentral:rRNA from 1 species